GAUACCUCCAGCAUCCUAAAGGUCAAAAUUCUAAAAACCCAUAAGAAAACAUUUCUGGCAUUUUUUUACUAUAUUAACAACUAAUUCAAUCACAAUAAAGAAGUAAAUUUAUCAAAUUAAUUAUCAUUACUACUUACUAAGUAGUAAUUUAUACCAAUAUUUCUUGAACAAGUAAGUAAUUUCCUCAAUUUAGACAUGAAAUCAACCUUACAAAUCAAAAUUUUUCAAGCAAAUAUACAAUUUUUAAAAGUCACUCUGUCUUUCCGCAAAUCACAUAGAAAUUGAUAAAGAAUGUAAGAAUUUUCUAGUCACAAAUAAAAAAUGUUUAAGAUAGUAAGAAUAUCCUAAAUGUCCCUAGCAAUAAAUCAGAAGCCUUUAGCAGUCUAUCACUAAACACAAUAAAAAUAAAAUAUAUAACAUAUACAGAGUACAUAAAGA
rnacentral:lncRNA from 1 species